rnacentral:rRNA from 1 species
UACGUAGGGUGCAAGCGUUGUCCGGAAUUAUUGGGCGUAAAGAGCUCGUAGGCGGUCUGUUGCGUCGGCUGUGAAAACCCGGGGCUCAACCUCGAGAUGUCAUCGGAAACCAUUUGGCUAGAGUCCGGAAGAGGAGAGUGGAAUUCCUGGUGUAGCGGUGAAAUGCGCAGAUAUCAGGAAGAACACCAAUGGCGAAAGCAGCUCUCUGGGACGGUACUGACGCUGAGACGCGAAAGCGUGGGGAGCGAACAGG